GACGAACGCGGCGGCGUGCUUAAUACAUGCAAGUCGAGCGGAGUCAUUCCUUCGGGGAUGGCUUAGCGGCGGACGGGUGAGUAACACGUAGGCAACCUGCCUGCAAGAUCGGGAUAACAUUCGGAAACGAAUGCUAAUACCGGAUACACAAUUUCCUCGCAUGGGGAGAUUGGGAAAGACGGCGCAAGCUGUCACUUGCAGAUGGGCCUGCGGUGCAUUAGCUAGUUGGUGGGGUAAYGGCUCACCAAGGCGACGAUGCAUAGCCGACCUGAGAGGGUGAUCGGCCACACUGGGACUGAGACACGGCCCAGACUCCUACGGGAGGCAGCAGUAGGGAAUCUUCCGCAAUGGACGAAAGUCUGACGGAGCAACGCCGCGUGAGUGAUGAAGGUUUUCGGAUCGUAAAGCUCUGUUGCCAGGGAAGAACAGCCAGGCGAGUAACUGCGCUUGGAAUGACGGUACCUGAAAGAAGCGAGC
rnacentral:rRNA from 1 species